ACCACAAGUUCAACAUAAGAAAAGCAACUGGGAACGAGAUUACAGGAAGUGACGUCAUACUUCAACGUGAGGCAAGGCGGGUCGUUAUUUGAAUAGAUGCCGAUUCCCCCCUUACUUCACGUUUUCGGAAGGAGCACAGAAUCCACGGCUACAUUCGCAGAGGCACGACCUUCGAACCACCUGCUGACGUUUCUUUCCAAACUGAAAAAUAUUUCUACCUCACACACAUUCAAUCCUCACAACAUCAGUUCUCCCAUGUUCAACUUGCACGUUCCAGGGCGUGUCAAAUCUCCCAACCAGCUGCCGAUGUUUCUCUCCAAUUUUAAAAAUAUUUCUACCUCACGCACAUUAAAGAUAAGUUCAUAUUCUGUAAAUAUACACACUGUAAAGCCUUCCAGAAAUCAAUUUCGCCUCAUUUUCUCUAUGCUUUAUUCGCUCACCUCAUGAAUUUCGCUGCACGUCCCAUUUCACAAGCACUUGCCGAUGUUUCUUUCCAACGUUUACAAUUUCUGUACCCCACUGUGAUUCAGUUGAAGUCUCUGUGUCUCUAUCCUUCAAAUACCCACUCUGAUGUCCCCGGAAACCAGUCUCGCCUCAUUUGCGCAAUGCUUUCGUCAUCCCCGUCAUGCAUUUUUCUGCUGCACCCAUUUCUAAAGUCUUUGCCUAUGUUAAAAAUAUUUCUACCCCACUUAGACUCGAUUUUGGUCACCAUUUUAUAAAUAGAUAUUCUGAAGCUUUUCAGAAAUCAGUUUCACCUCAUUUCCUCCACACUUUCAUCACUCAUCUCACACAUUUCCCUGGAUUCCCCCGAUUCCACAACACUUGCCGAUGUUUCUUACUAAUGUUGAGAGUAUUUCUACCCCACCAAGGUUUAACAGUAUCCCAUAAAUAGACACCCUGAAGCAAUCUAGAAACUGAUUUCACCUCAUUCAUUUUUUAUUCACAUAAUGGCCACGUUUUGAAAACGCUCGUCCUUUCCGGAGCACUUUGCGAAAUUUCUUUGCAAUGUGAAGAAUAUUUCUACCUGACUGAGAUACAAUCUCCUUACUGCAUAUAUUCACUCCAUAUACUGUCACAAACACCCCUAGACAAUCUCGAAAUCAGUUUCACCUCAUUUGCUCAAUCCUUUCAUCACGCAUCUCAUGCAUUUCACUGAAUGAUCCAUUUCCGAUGCACAUGUCAAUGUUUCUUUCCAAUUUUAAAAAUAUUUCUACUCCACUUAUUCUCAAGCUAACUGCAUAUCCUAUAACUAGACAUUGUAGAGCAUUCCAGAAACAAAUUUCAUGUCGUUUCAUUCGUUUCACCCCUCAGCUUGCACUUUCAAGGGUGCUUCACGCCUCCGAACCAUCCGCUCCUCAGCACCUUUCCAAUUUUACAGAUAUUUCUACCUCACACAGAUUUAAGAGCUCCGUUCUCCUUCACCUUCACAUAGGUGGAGAAAGAGCACUUACAUGUACCUUCUUCCAAGCUGCAUCCUAGCCGGCUAGCCAAGGAACUAGGACAACAGAACCAUGUAACCAGCAAUUCCUGCAUCUCUUGUGUAUUCAUAUGGCAAUUUUAUUUCUAAUUCUAACCAAGAUAAACAGAUGUUUUCACAUUGUA